rnacentral:rRNA from 1 species
UACGUAGGGUGCAAGCGUUGUCCGGAAUUAUUGGGCGUAAAGAGCUCGUAGGCGGUUAGUCGCGUCUGCUGUGAAAACUCGGGGCUUAACUCCGGGCCUGCAGUGGGUACGGGCUGACUAGAGUGCGGUAGGGGAGACUGGAAUUCCUGGUGUAGCGGUGAAAUGCGCAGAUAUCAGGAGGAACACCGGUGGCGAAGGCGGGUCUCUGGGCCGUAACUGACGCUGAGGAGCGAAAGCAUGGGGAGCGAACAGG